GACGAACGCUGGCGGCGUGCCUAAUACAUGCAAGUCGAGCGCAGGAAACCGUCUGAACCCUUCGGGGGGACGACGGCGGAAUGAGCGGCGGACGGGUGAGUAACACGUAAAGAACCUGCCCACGGGUCUGGGAUAACCACGAGAAAUCGGGGCUAAUACCGGACGGGUCAUCGGACCGCAUGGUCCGAGGAUGAAAGGCGCUCCGGCGUCGCCCGUGGAUGGCUUUGCGGUGCAUUAGCUAGUUGGUGGGGUAACGGCCCACCAAGGCGACGAGGCAUAGCCGACCUGGGAGGGUGAUCGGCCACACUGGGACUGAGACACGGCCCAGACUCCUACGGGAGGCAGCAGUAGGGAAUCUUCCACAAUGGACGAAAGUCUGAUGGAGCAACGCCGCGUGAACGAUGAAGGCCCUCGGGUCGUAAAGUUCUGUUGUAAGGGAAGAACAAGUGCCGCAGGCAAUGGCGGCACCUUGACGGUACCUUGCGAGAAAGCCACGGCUAACUACGUGCCAGCCGCCGCUGUAA
rnacentral:rRNA from 1 species